CUGACAGAAGAGAGUGAGCACACGCAGGCAAUUGUAUGAAAAGCCAUACCUUUGCGGGUGCGUGCUCACUUCUCUUCUGUCAG
rnacentral:pre_miRNA from 1 species